UGGUUCAGUGGGUAGAGUGUUGGCCUGCAGAGCAAAGAAUCCCAGGUUUGAUUCCUGG
rnacentral:tRNA from 1 species